AAUUAACAACUCUAAUAGCGGUUCCAAAAAGUCGCCCCGAUCAACGCGGGGCCGAGCCCUAGCUGUGGCUGCAGCGUCUUAUGGAGAAUCAACUCUUUAACGGCUCGGAUUCGAUCAGCUUUAGCCCGGUCCGUCGUACGGUCCACACUGAAAAAAGGUUGGUCGGGCCAGAUCAGUGCGGGCCAAUCUUCAGCGGUGCGGUUCGUUAGGUGUAUCGAGGAUGAAAGGAUACACCGUAAGUGGAACUGUUCAUGUGCUACGUUCUGUUAGUCACACGGUAACAGCAUCAACGUGAAUGGGUGAAGAAGUACCAUAAAAGAAUUUUAGGGGUCAGUAAAGGUCAGGCUAAAUAUCAAGCUAAACGAG